CCGCUCUCCGCGCCGCUCUUGAUGUCCGCGUAACAGUCGUGCUGAAAUUUACGACCCUGCAUUGUUUAAUCACAGACCACAGACACAAAGCGACGGCGAGCAGCGGCGAUAAAGUUGGCCAUUGUGUUGAGUUAGCCCUGAAAGUCAUAUGAAGUUCCUGCGACAAUUCAAAGGAAUGCAGACAAAGUUCGACAAGUGGCGCGGCUCGGGAGACAAUUAAAACGGAAUCGGAAAACUUGAUUGUCUGCCUAUUUCGUCGGGUGGAAUGGGAGCCGCGAACCCGACGGCGGAGAUUUUCGAGAUGACGAUUAGAGAAUGAGUCCCGAAGCACACGCUGACCCAUGGACUGAAUGAGAGAAAUUACAGCAAGAGCAAAAAACAUUGCUUUUAUUUCCCCACCUUCAAGUUGCCGCGCACUCAGAAACCAUGGAAAACAUUGAGACGAAUAUUCUGGGAGGCUUGUGGUUUUGCUGGCUUACCGUUACAUAAAAAUGGAAAUUUGUGUCUCCCAGACGCAUUACAAGUCUGUCGUCGAUGUUGGGCGAAUCGAAAGUUGAAAACGUGGGACGAAGCCUCCAGGACAAUUUUUUUACCGGUGCGAAAGAAAAAUAAAAUAAGUAAGUAUUUCUCGCGCUACAUGUUGUCGAUCGGAUUGCCUUCGGGAAUCAAACUCUCUCUCCUUCUGCCCAAUUGCAAAUAAUCGCCUGGAGGCCACUUCAAUGAUGCGGCGGGGACCGGGUUGCGAUCAUUAGUUCGACAUUGACAUGAAGAAUACGAUUUCGAUUGCGAUAUCGCAUGGCCGCCAAUUGAAAAGAACCGGACCGACGCCAAGGGUCAGCGUUCGGGAUAUAUACCUAACCGGAUCUCCUGGAGUGGUUUUUGUUUGCGUGUUCAUCGUGAAGCGCGGUAUUUCUUUUAUAGUUUUCCCGCAACGGCCCAACGUAAUAAAUAAAUUUUGUUAAUUGUAUCGGCUAAUGAGAUAAAAAAAAGUUAGAUAUAUGCCUCGCUAUCUUUUUUAGUGUUUUAUUUAAGGUACUAACCAAACGCAUUUUUUUGGAGGCUAAUGACGGUGAAAAAAAAAAAGAAUAUGAAAGACCUCUCAUCUAUCCCCAGAGAGAUUAUUUAAGGCGAUCGAAUGUCGACGCCGUUUGGUAUUUCGUUUUAAUUAACGCCGAAGGGGGUGGGCGGGGGAUGGGCCUUGUUAACGUGACAGUUUAAGUGACGACGGGCGGCGACGGCGGCGGCUAAAAAAUCGCGCGUCUUAUCUGCGGAAAUUUGAUAUCGCGUAAUUUUACACUUUUGCCGACGCGACAAAAGGGAAGCGACGUUAAUUGCGUUUUUCGUUGAGGUGGUUGCGAUAGGGCCGGAGGGUGGGAAGCGAAAUGAGCUGCGAAUCGGCAAAUAAUGACGUAGCCUUUUCAAUAAAAUUCACACACUUCGCGGAUUCGUUUUAACAAAGUUCAGUAGAUACGUAAAGAACUAACCAAAACUAACCAUAUACUUCUAGCUGUCAUAACUUGGGGAAGGCAUUCAUCGCCAAAUUGGCACGCGUACUGUCGUCGACUAUAUGCAUUUUUCUCGAAAUAAAUUGAUGUAUGCAUUUUUUUUUUGUAUAGAACGCGUUAAUAAAACGCGGGGGGUCGGUUUUGAAUUAAUGCCCGCCCCUGCGAACGGGAUCGAUUAAAACGAGAGCGUUAAAACUAAACCGACGCCCGACGUCCAAACGGCAAAUCGAAUUUCGACAGAUUGACGCGUUGUUCAUUUCGCUGCACUUAUAAAUAAUUCACCGACACGGGUGUACCGAAUUAGAUGGCCGGCAUAAAUGGCACCUACUCCCUCACACACCCAUGCGGUUUUGAACAUGCCCGGCGUGGAAUCCGUCAUUU